rnacentral:rRNA from 1 species
AUGAUUUUUUUCUCAACCAACAUCUCUCAGAACUUUGCUAUAACGCCAAACUUGGAUAUAACGCCAACGCCUGAGCGAAUUGUCGGCAUCACAAUACUUUUACAAAUAGAAGGGUAUUUGGGCCAAAAUGAGUCCAAACAGGGAGUAGUCAAUUUAGCUAGAACAGUAUUGGGAGCCCACCACCGAAAUGGCGAAACUUGGCAGGGCAUAUUAGAGGAUAUUCGGGCGGGUGGUGGUAUGUAUAAUUUUAUCCAGAAUCUGCCUGGUGCCUACCCUAAUACCCCAUUGGAUCAAUUUGCCAUUAUCCCAAUAAUUGAUCUUCAUGUGGGCAACUUUUAUUUAUCAUUUACAAAUGAAGUCUUGUAUAUGCUGCUCACUGUCGUUUUGGUCGUUUUUCUUUUUUUGUUGUUGUUACGAAAAAGGGAGGUGGAAAGUCAGUGCCAAAUGCAUGGCAAUCCUUGGUCGAGCUUAUUUAUGAUUUCGUGCUGA